rnacentral:tRNA from 1 species
AAGAGGUGUAUAUAAUAAACCAUUAGAGCUGCUAACUCAAAUAGCUAAGAAUAAAACCUUAGACCUCUUAC